UACGUAGGGUGCAAGCGUUGUCCGGAAUUAUUGGGCGUAAAGAGCUCGUAGGCGGCUUGUCGCGUCGUCCGUGAAAACCUGCAGCUCAACUGCAGGCUUGCGGUCGAUACGGGCAGGCUGGAGUUCGGUAGGGGAGACUGGAAUUCCUGGUGUAGCGGUGAAAUGCGCAGAUAUCAGGAGGAACACCAGUGGCGAAGGCGGCGAUCUGGGAAGAUACUGACGCUGAGGUGCGAAAGCGUGGGGAGCAAACAGG
rnacentral:rRNA from 1 species